rnacentral:rRNA from 1 species
CCCUUAGACGUUCUGGGCCGCACGCGCGCUACACUGACCAGUGCAACAAGCAUCCGUCCUUGGCCGACAGGCCCGGGCAAUCUUUGAACGCUGGUCGUGAUGGGGAUAGACUUUUGCAAUUUUUGGUCUUCAACGAGGAAUUCCUAGUAAACGCAAGUCAUCAACUUGCAUUGAUUACGUCCCUGCCCUUUGUACACACCGCCCGUCGCUCCUACCGAUUGAGCAAUCCGGUGAAUACUUCGGGCCGGUUACUUGGUUGGUUCGCUAACCUUGUGACUGGAAAGUCGAGUGAACCUUAUUGCUUAGAGGAAGGAGAAGUCGUAACA